GACGAACGCUGGCGGCGUGCUUAACACAUGCAAGUCGAACGGAAAGGCCCUGCUUUUGUGGGGUGCUCGAGUGGCGAACGGGUGAGUAACACGUGAGUAACCUGCCCUUGACUUUGGGAUAACUUCAGGAAACUGGGGCUAAUACCGGAUAGGAGCUCCUGCUGCAUGGUGGGGGUUGGAAAGUUUCGGCGGUUGGGGAUGGACUCGCGGCUUAUCAGCUUGUUGGUGGGGUAGUGGCUUACCAAGGCUUUGACGGGUAGCCGGCCUAAGAGGGUGACCGGCCACAUUGGGACUGAGAUACGGCCAGACUCCUACGGGAGGCAGCAGUGGGGAAUAUUGCACAAUGGGCGGAAGCCUGAUGCAGCAACGCCGCGUGCGGGAUGACGGCCUUCGGGUUGUAAACCGCUUUCGCCUGUGACGAAGCGUGAGUGACGGUAAUGGGUAAAGAAGCACCGGCUAACUACGUG
rnacentral:rRNA from 1 species